UAGGCGGAACCUGUGUUCGGGAUCAGAUUAAUCGGAGGAAUUUUUCGAUGAUGCGCACGUUCACAGCAUGUGCCUUUUUUUUGGUUAGCUGUUAGUUUUUGUCUCUGCAUGCAUUUUGAGAAAUAGCGUGGAUUACAUUUUUGUAAGUUUUCAUUUUUGAACACUGGUACUGGAUUGUCGGAGUUUAGCAAAGUUUGGUAAUGUUUUGCACCCUUGGUAAAGCGGAGCGAGUUUCACGGUGGUGAUUGGUGUUGAACGGUGAUCGAUGGAUGCUUCAUGUUAAAGAGUACGAACUGAAGACGUGUUCCAAUAAACGAUCUACACCCGUA